rnacentral:tRNA from 2 species
GCAUUUGUGGCCGCAUGGUUAAGGUAAUGGACUAGAAAUCCAUUGGUGUCUCCCCACACAGGUUCGAUCGAAUCCUGUCGACUACG